AUUGAACGCUGGCGGCAGGCCUAACACAUGCAAGUCGAGCGGAUGAAGGGAGCUUGCUCCUGGCUUCAGGGGCGGACGGGUGAGUAAUGCCUAGGAAUCUGCCUGGUAGUGGGGGUUAAGGUCAGGAAAGGGGGACUAAUACGGAUACCGCCUAGGGGCGGAAGGGGGGGGAGGUUGGGCCCAAAGGCUCUCGCAGGAGCCUAGGUCGGAUUAGCUAGUUGGUGGGGUAAGGGCCCACCAAGGCGACGAUCCGUAACUGGUCUGAGAGGAUGAUCAGUCACACUGGAACUGAGACACGGUCCAGACUCCUACGGGAGGCAGCAGUGGGGAAUAUUGGACAAUGGGCGAAAGCCUGAUCCAGCCAUGCCGCGUGUGUGAAGAAGGUCUUCGGAUUGUAAAGCACUUUUAUUUGGGAAGAAGGGCAGUAAGUUAAUACCUUGCUGUUUUGACGUUACCAACAGAAUAAGCACCGGCUAACUUCGUG
rnacentral:rRNA from 1 species